UACAGAGGUCUCAAGCGUUGCUCGGAUUCAUUGGGCGUAAAGGGUGCGUAGGCGGCGCGGUAAGUCGGGUGUGAAAUCUCGAAGCUUAACUCCGAAACUGCAUUCGAUACUGCCGUGCUUGAGGACUGGAGAGGAGACUGGAAUUUACGGUGUAGCGGUGAAAUGCAUAGAUAUCGUAAGGAAGACCAGUGGCGAAGGCGGGUCUCUGGACAGUUCCUGACGCUGAGGCACGAAGGCCAGGGGAGCAAACGGG
rnacentral:rRNA from 1 species